rnacentral:rRNA from 1 species
GUGGGGAAUAUUGGACAAUGGGCGAAAGCCUGAUCCAGCCAUGCCGCGUGUGUGAAGAAGGUCUUCGGAUUGUAAAGCACUUUAAGUUGGGAGGAAGGGCAGUAAGUUAAUACCUUGCUGUUUUGACGUUACCGACAGAAUAAGCACCGGCUAACUUCGUGCCAGCAGCCGCGGUAAUACGAAGGGUGCAAGCGUUAAUCGGAAUUACAGGGCGUAAAGCGCGCGUAGGUGGUUUUGUAAGUUGGAGGUGAAAUCCCCGGGCUCAACCUGGGAACUGCCUCCCAAACUGCAUGACUAGAGUACGGUAGAGGGUAGUGGAAUUUCCUGUGUAGCGGUGAAAUGCGUAGAUAUAGGAAGGAACACCAGUGGCGAAGGCGACUACCUGGACUGAUACUGACACUGAGGUGCGAAAGCGUGGGGAGCAAACAGGAUUAGAUACCCCGGUAGUCC